rnacentral:rRNA from 1 species
UACAGAGACCCCGAGCGUUAUCCGGAAUUACUGGGCGUAAAGAGUGAGUAGUCGGUUGCAUUAGUCUGUCGUUAAAUCUUCUGGCUUAACUGGAAGACCGCGAUGGAAACGGUGCGGCUAGAGCAGGUAAGAGGUAAGCGGAACGUGCAGUGUAGGGGUGAAAUCCAUUGAUAUUGCACGGAACACCAAAAGCGAAGGCAGCUUACUAGUGCUUUGCUGACGAUAAAUCACGAAAGCGUGGGGAUCAAAAAGG